GAUGAACGCUAGCUACAGGCUUAACACAUGCAAGUCGUGGGGCAGCGGAUACUUAUCUUUCUAAGUAUGCCGGCGACCGGCGCACGGGUGAGUAACGCGUACCGUACCUGCCCAUCUCACAUGGAUAGGCUUGCGAAAGCAAGAUUAAUAUCUGAUGGUCUCAAUUUUAUGCAUGUAUGUUUGAGUAAAUCCUUCUGUCGGUUAUGGAUGGCGGUGCGUCCCAUUAGGAAGUUGGCGGGGUAACGGCCCACCAAUCCUUCGAUGGGUAGGGGUUCUGAGAGGAAGGGCACCCAGAAUGGAACUGAGAGACGGUACAAACACCUACGGGAGGAAGAAGUGAGGAAUAUUGGUGAAGGGGAGAGAGCCUGAACAAGCCAAGUAGCGUGCGGGAGGAAGGCAGUUGUGGUAGUAAACCGAUUUUAUAAGAAAAUAAAGUGAAGCACGUGUGGUGUAAUUGAAGGUAGCUGAAGAAAAAGGACCGGCUAAUUCCGUG
rnacentral:rRNA from 1 species